AUUGAACGCUGGCGGCAGGCUUAACACAUGCAAGUCGAGCGAGCGGCGGACGGGUGAGUAAUGUCUGGGAAACUGUCUGAUGGAGGGGGAUAACUACUGGAAACGGUAGCUAAUACCGCAUACCAUCAGAUGUGCCCAGAUGGGAUUGGCUAGUAGGUGGGGUAUUGGCUCACCUAGGCAACGAGCCCUAGCUGGUCUGAGAGGAUGACCAGGCACACUGGAACUGGGACACGGUCCUGACUCCUACGGGAGACGGAAGUGGGAAAUAUUGUACAAUGGGCGAAAGCCUGAUGCGGCCAUGCCGCGUGGGUGAAGAAGGCCUUCGGGUUGUAAAGCACUUUCAGCGAGGAGGCGUUACUCGCAGAAGAAGCGCCGGCUAACUCCGUGCAAGCAGCCGCGGUAAUAC
rnacentral:rRNA from 1 species